rnacentral:rRNA from 1 species
UACAGAGGUCCCAAGCGUUGUUCGGAUUCACUGGGCGUAAAGGGUGCGUAGGCGGUCGGGUAAGUCUGAUGUGAAAUCUCACAGCUUAACUGUGAAACUGCAUUGGAUACUAUCCGGCUCGAGGAAUGGAGGGGAGACUGGAAUACUUGGUGUAGCAGUGAAAUGCGUAGAUAUCGGGAGGAACACCAGUGGCGAAGGCGGCCUUCUGGACCAAUACUGACGCUCAUGCACGAAAGCGUGGGGAGCAAACAGG